UUGGCAAAGAAAUAAAGGAAAUCUGUCCAUGAGGUCCUGAAAGUGCAAGAUUUGCCUUCUUUGACUCUGAAAAGCCGAUGCAUUUCUGCUAGUCGAUCCUCCCAAAACACCGYGUGGAGCUGUUCAGUAAAUCCCCAGCCCGCCUGGCUGCACCAGGAGCGCAUC